rnacentral:rRNA from 1 species
CCCUUAGAUGUCCUGGGCUGCACGCGCGCUACACUGAUGUGUCCAGUAAGCACCUAACCUAUUCCGAGAGGAGCGGGUAACCUUAGCAAAGCACAUCGUGAUGGGGAUAGAUUAUUGCAAUUAUUAGUCUUGAACGAGGAAUUCCUAGUAAGCACAAGUCAUCGGCUUGUGUUGAUUACGUCCCUGCCCUUUGUACACACCGCCCGUCGCUCCUACCGAUUGAAUGUUCCGGUGAGCUCUUCGGACUGCGCGGUCUGCAGUUUCUGCGUUCCGUGCGGAAAGUUGUGCAAACCUUAACAUUUAGAGGAAGGAGAAGUCGUAACA